GGAAAAUCCGUCGGACCAACACCGCGUGAGUGAUGAAGGCUUUCGGGUCGUAAAAAUCUGUUGUUAGGGAAGAACAAGUGCUAGUUGAAUAAGCUGGCACCUUGGCGGUUCCUAACCAGAAAACCACGGCUAAAUUCGUGCCAGCAACCGCGGUAAUUCGUAGGUGGCCAGCGUUAUCUGGAAUUAUUGGGCGUAAAACGCGCGCAGGUGGUUUCUUAAAUUUGAUGUGAAAACCCCCGGCUCCACCGUGGAGGGUCCUUGGAAACUGGGAGACUUGAGUGCAGAAGAGGGAAGUGGAAUUCCAUGUGNAGCGGUGAAAUGCGUAGAGAUAUGGAGGAACACCAGUGGCGAAGGCGGCUUUCUGGUCUGUAACUCGACCCUGUAGAGCGCGAAAGCGUGGGGAGCCAACCGGAUUAGAUACCCUGGUAGUUCCCGCCGUAAACGAUGAGUGCUAAGUGUUAGAGGGUUCUCCGCCCUUUAGUGCUGAAGUUAACGCAGUAAGCACUCCGCCUGGGGA
rnacentral:rRNA from 1 species